CGUGGCCACUCGCAAACCACACCCCCUCCUCCCCCAGCUGAGGCGCGCUGAUGGGACCUGCGGGUCUCACGGAGGAUUUGUGCAUUCCUACUUCUUCAAAUGAGUGACAGGACCAGCUGCUGCCCACGGGCCCCUGCUAUGGAGGCUGCAUUUAUAGAAGAGGGUUUAGAACUUAUUCAAGAAGUGAAGGCUUUUUUCUUUGCCUUGGAUGGAGAGAAAUAGUGAUUGCUUUGAGCCUCAAGACGGGCAGUUAUUUGACGGCUCCCGCUCGCCAGGCACAGUGCUGGGACCUCUUGUUGUCUUCUGUGUCUGCAUGCGGGAGAGGAGGGAGGCCCUGAGUGUUGAAGUUACUGGACCGACACAGUCAUUUAAGCAUGGUUGUCUCAGAGAGUGUGACGUGUGUGCUGUGAGUGCCACUGGACUCCAAAGCCAGUGGCUGCACCAUCCGGCCUUUUCUGGAUCUCAUCCUAGAUGCCGAGGCUUUGUUCAAAGGUAGUUAUUUUCAUGUAAAGCCGCAAAGCAAGAGCAGAGGGUGUUCAGAUAACCCCAAGUGGAAGCGGGGACCGAGGAUGGAGCCUGGGCUAGAGUCAGGCCUUGUCGUUUCUUCCAAAGGCUGGAGGUUUGGCUGCAGUGAAGACAAUGUGUUAAUCUCCCACCCCGAAUGGCAUCUAGGACGCCUGUGACUCUCCUCAGCUGCAGGGGCUGGGCCGGCACUGGAAGGUUCCACACGCCCUGCAGGCAGAGAGAGCCUGGGGCCGUCUGCUCCCCACUGGAAGCGGCCGAGCACACUGAGGCUUUGAAGUUGGGACUUGCCCGCCGCAGCUUGGGGGCCGGUGGAAGACAGAGACAGGAUGGCAGCCCAGCUUGUCUGUCAUCCCUGGUACCCCAUGGCCGCUGUGAUCCGAGGAAGCUCUGACGAUAUCUGCUUUCUGCUUAUGUCCUUGGAUUAUCAGUUAUUUUUCCUGGUUAUAAAAGUAUGUUUAUUACAGAAGAUUUAGAAUCUACAGCAAACUGUAAAUAAGAUAGUAAAAUGCCAGUCAUCCCA